AUGGGAAAUGAAAAUGUAUGUAGUAACUUGGCAUUUCUAGACAGCUAUUCUACUUGGAGAUUAAUGCUUUACUUCCCUCCCAUUUUUCUCUCUUCCUGUUCCAGCAAGAGGCAGCAGAAAAUCACCUUGGUUGUCCAAGGAAGAUUAAUAGUCUUUCAAUCUGAUGCCUCCAAGAUGAGAUUGGCUAAGAUUAUUUCACAGGAAACUAGAAAUGGAAGAGCAAAGUGAAGCUAAGGACUGGACUGGACUGCAGAGAUAAAAAUGCAUGAGGUCAUUGCUCAGCUUGCUCCAUCAUCACCUCAGAAUGAGGAAAGCAAGAAGAAUAGCUGAAGAAAUUUGUCUACUCUCUCAAGGUGGCUGAGGGUCCUCUUCAAUAUGACUCAUCUCAUGUUUUUCUCUGAUUCUCGAGAUAGUGAAACCCAGGGAACAUGGUAGUUUAGCUAGUUUUUACAGCAAUUCUCUCUCUGUAUCAAAAUUAAAGGAAAAUAUCUAAUGAGAAUGCUCUUAAAAUCUGUCUUCAAGGAAUUAUAUCAGAAUAGAAUCGUGUUCGCUAUAUUUUAACAUGUUAAUAUAAAAUAUAUUUUCACUCUUUGCAUUGGUAUUGGUGAAAAAAAAGUUACCUGAUUACAUUUUCCUACUUGUGUUAGAUUGUAGACAUAUAAAGGCUAAAUACAUGCUCCACUCUUAGUGAAAGUUGAUAGAAUUCUUUAAACUAUCUUUU
ensembl:lincRNA